rnacentral:lncRNA from 1 species
CAUAAGCAAUAAAUGCGCAGCAAGCUAGCAAGUCAAGGAUGAUGCCUAGGAUUGGAUGUUUGGAUUAAAGAGAUGAGGCCGCGUGCCACCUCAUCCAAGGACUGUCAUGUACCACUAUAAAUACUUCCCUUGUGUAACAUUAAAGGGCUAAUGCAAGAAUCAAUACAAGAAACCAUACUUUACUCUCUUUCAAAUUAUCUUGCAACACAAUACAAGUUAAUACAUAUUUACAUGCACAUUCAUGAGCACUUAUUGGUAAUUAUUGUACAAUCGGAUUACGA